rnacentral:siRNA from 1 species
UGGGCUUAUACUCUCGACCUAA